CUGCGCGUCUCCCGGUCGCGGGGGUGUAGAGAUUCUCUGUUUUGCGCUGCUUUCUUUGCUUUUGCAUAUGCAAAUCGUGCAGAGGCACACGAAUGAGUCGAGAUGGACGGCAUCUCGCAUUUCACUCGCAUCAAGGAUACCCCCGAGACACUGAACCCCAUCACGGGGCGGAGCAUCUAUUACGGGAUGCGACCGUGGCGCUGCGAUGAUCGAUUUCAGGACUGGCUAAAGUCGUUCACGUGCUUCGACUCAGUUAGUGUGCAAUACAACCUGCUGAAGCUGUUUGUUCAAUGCGCCCGCUCUGAAGAAGGACAGGAGCCGAUCGACAACUACCACCGACUGGGCCGAGCAGAGGUUAUGUAUUACGUAGAGCGCUAUCGCAGUGGUAUGAUGCGGACGGGGGUACUGGAGACUUAUCCGUAUGACCAAAAUGAACUGCGGCGGAUCGCAGAAGAGGAUGGGCUGAAAAUGCGGGUGUGGCGUCACCAGCGGGAAGUCGAGAUGGAGUCGAAGGAGGGCAAGAUUGAUGAGGUAUUGCACAUGAACGUCAUGGGGCGAGGCAAGUCCUGAUCGAGCAAGCGGCACGUUUGGUGCCCCUUUCGCUGGCUCAUUAUACGCUUAUGCAAUGUGGCCUACCUGAUGUGCGUGCUUUUUUUUCUUUGCGGCAUUUGAGCGCACCUUCCGCCGUGGUGGACCUCACGCUGCCGCUCGCACUCUCAUACAUAUAGGUUGCUGCUGCCGAUGAUGGCGCGGUUCUGUCUUGACAGUUCAAAAAAAGAAGAAAAGUGAUCCUGCUCGCCCACCUCACAAGCAACGCCAGUCGUUUCUCCUCGCGUGCGCCCCUUGCGGACUUCUCAAGCCUUAUUUCAUAAUAUAUGUUUACUGAGAACGCCUCCGUACUCGACCUCCUUUGUGUGAAUCAUCCCCUCCAAAAAGAUGUCGGCUCUCCGCGCCACUAAAGUGCUGCGUCGGACUCUUAUGAACUCACUGGGUGGACUCAUCGCAGCGAAUCCUUUCCCAUUUUUUUUUGGCGCAUUCCACCACCUGUUUCGCCUGUCAUGUGAUUGCUGGCUCCCAG
rnacentral:misc_RNA from 1 species